rnacentral:lncRNA from 1 species
CCAGUCCACUAAUUGGCUGAUUACAUUCACACAGAUCAUUUUCCUUUUUCAUGGUGAUAAUGUGAAUAUCAUUCACGGCACACAAUUUUCAGAAAUAAACUGAGCCUGAGAAACGUUAACGUAAUUGGACAAAGCAAAGACCUUUCAUGUAUUAAGCAAUAUAGACAGACUGGAAAUAAAUUAUUUUUCCCUUAAAACUCCAGUGUCUUUUAACCACUUGGAGCAAGAUGUCACUAUUGAAUGGAACAGUGCUAAAAAGUGGUGAGAAAGGAUCUUUUGCUGACGUAAGUAUUACUGUAACCUAAUGUGCUAAGAUCUAAAUAACAGAGAACAAAGGGGUGCCUCCACACUCCCCGAAGACAAUGGAACGGGCUCCCAAUUCUUCAGCUUCAUCAGGGUGUGAGUCACUCCGAACAAAUCACUUCACCUCUGCAGGCUUUCAUUUCUUCAUCUAAGCAGAGAGUAGAAUCUGUGGUUAACAGAGGUUGUGGGGAGAGGAAAAUGAGGAGAUGUCGGUCAAAGGGUGCAAAGUUUGAGUUUGCGAGGUGCCUCAGUUCUGCAGCUCUGCUGUUGUACGGUGCCUGUAGCUAACAACAUUGGAUCGUUUUCUUGAAAUUUGCUGAGAGCGUAGAUCUUAAGUGUUCUCACUACAAAAAAGAAGAAAAUGGUAACUAUGUGAGGUGAUGGAUAUGUUAAUUACCUUGAUUGAGGGGAUCAUUUCACAGGGUAUCAUAUAUCAAAACAGCAAGUUGUAAGCCUUAAAUAGAUACAAGUUUUAUUU